rnacentral:lncRNA from 1 species
UUUUUCUUUUUCUUUCUUUUUUUUUUUUUUGUCUUUUCUAGGGCCCAGCCUGCAGCAUAUGGAGGUUCCUAGGCUAGGGGUCUAAUAGGAGCUACAGCUGCUGGCCGACACCACAGUCACUGCAAUACCAGAUCCAGCUCAUGGCAACGCUGGAUCCUUAACCCACUGAGCAAGGCCAGAGAUGGAACCCGUAACCUCAUGGUUCCUAGUCAGAUUCGUUAACCACUGAGCCAUGACGGGAACUCCACUAAUUGGUUUUUGAUCAUACCUCCUGGACACACUUUUCUUACUUGGAGGAAAGUUCUAGCGUUCCUUAAUAGUAAGUAAUUACUUUGGCUAGUGGGCAGCUUAUGGAAGCUGGAAUCUUUCAUGCAUUUUCAGCUAUUCUCAGUGACUACUUCCAAUAGAUAGAAGUUCCCUUUCAGGAAGAUCACCCACUGAUCAUUAUUACCUCUGUUAGAAUCACAGGAACUGACCUGGGGCUUAGAAACUAGUGAGCGCUAGUUUACACAGCUUUCUAGUCCCUUUGCCCCAUAACUUAUCUAAGGGAAAUCUGGUCCCCCCAGGUUAGCUACAUAUUUCUAAUGACUUGGAAUUGCAUUUCUGGCCAUUUCACUUUAUUUCUACUCUCUAGUCCAAGGAUAAAUAUCAUUAGCUCAUUAAUUCUUUCAGCUAAUAUUUACUGAAUGUCUACUAUGGACAUUGAUUUAUUUAAAUUAGAGUAUUCAAUAUACUCUUCCUGGGAGUAUAUUAAAGUUGCUACCCUCCUGAAGGGUAUAUUCUAAGAGGUGGGGGAGUGCGGGUGUGGAGAUGGACAACAAAUACAUAACUAAGUAAACAUAAAGAACGUAACUGGUAAAAUAAGUGCUGUAGAAAACAGAAAGGUAGAGUGCCUGUUGUGGCUCAGUGCGUUAAGAACUGGAUAUAGCAUCCAUGAGGAUGCCGGUUCGAUCCCUGGCCUUGCUCAGUGGGUCAUGGAUCCUGCAUUGCCGUGAGCUGUGGCAUAAGACACACAGGUGGCUCAGAUACGGCGUUGCUGUGGCUGUGGUAUAGGCCUCGGCUGUAGCUCCAAUUCAACCUCUGGCCAGGGAACUUCCAUACAUGACAGGUACAGCUUAAAACAACAACAACAACAACAACAACAACAACAACAGAAAAGGAAGGGAAAGGAGAUAAGGAGUUGGGAGGGGGAUGGGCAGUUGCUAUUUUAUGAUUUGCAAAGGUCUCACUAAAAAUGUAACAUUUGUCGGAGUUCCCGCUGUGGUACAGUGGGUUUAGCAUCCAGCUGAGGUUGCAGCUGUGGCUCUAAUUCCAUCCCUGGCCUAGGAAAUUCCACAUGCUCUGGGUGUGGCCAUAAAAUACAUAAAAAUAAAAAUGUAACAUGUGAGAAUAUAUCUAAAGAAAGUGAAGGAGUGAGGCACAUAAUUAUCUGGCGGAAAACAUUUUCGGCAGAAGAUACAGCAAGUGGGCUAGCUUUAACAUGUUCUAAGGCUGGAGCUGACAAGAUUUGCUGAUAGAUUGAUUGGAUGAGGAAUGAAAGAGUGAGGCCUCAAGAAUGGCUACAAGGUGGGUUUCUUUGUUUUUUGUUUUUUGUUUUCCCCAUGCCUGCUGCAUGGAAAAAUUUCCCCAGGGCCAGGGAUCGAAACUGUGCCACAGCAGUGAAUUGAGCUGCUACAGUGACAACACUGGAUCCUUAACCCACUGCCCCAAAAGAGAGCUCUCAGGAUGACUAUGAGAUUUUCAGCCUGAGAAAAACCAGGGGGCAGAGUUUCCAUUACUUGAGACAGAGAAGACUAUGGGGAGAGGAGAUUCUUCCCCUGGGGCAUGAUUCAGAAAUCAGUAAUCUCAUUUAGCAUUUUUCCUUUUCUUGUUUGGCCUCCCUGAAAGGCAUAUGAGGUUCUCCAGCCAGGGAUCAGAUCCAAGUGCAGUUGUGACCUAUGCUACAGCUGUGGAAAAGCCCAAUCCUUAACCAAACUGUGCUGGGCCAGGGAUCACAUCUGUGUCCCAGAGCUCCAGGGAGGCCUAUUCCCUUGUGCCACAGCAGGAACUCCUCAUUUAGCAUAUAUUAACUUGAGAGGCCUUUUAGACAUUCAGGUAGAGAUAUCAAGUAGGUAGUUGGAAAAUCAGAUUUGGAAUUCAGGCUAGAGACCUGAGCUGGAGCUAUAAAUUUAUGCUCCAGUAGCAUAUAGGUGUAUUUUUAAAGCCAGGAGCCUACAUGAGAUCACCCAGCAGAAAGGAAAAGUGAAGGUUUGAAGACUGAUCCCAGGAGCACACCAACUUUUAGAGGUGGGGACAUGAGGACUAGCUGACAAGGGAGACCGAGAGGGAGAAGAACCAAGAAACAUGUCUGAUUUGAUACGCAUGUAAAUCAAUGAGGUUAGAGCACAUCCUCAAACCAUAGGCAGAAAUAAACUCAGAAUGGUUUAAAGACCUAAAUAUAGGACAUGACACCAGGGAGUUCCCAUUGCGGCUGAGUGGAAACGAAUCUGACUAGUAUCUAUGAGGAUGCGGGUUCAAUCCCUAGCCUCACUCAGUGGGUUAAGGAUCUGGCAUUGCCCUGAACUGUGGUGUAGGUCGCAGACUUGGCUCAGAUCCUGCAUUGCUGUGGCUGUGGUUGCAGACGCGGCUCGGAUCCCGUGUUGCUGUGGCUCUGGUGUAGGCCUGUGGCUACAGCUUGGAUUAGACCCCUAGCCUGGGAACCUCCAUAUGCCACAGGAGCAGCACAAGAAAUGCCAAAAAAAAAAAAAAAAAAAAAAAGGUGAAACAUAAAGCGAGUGCUUGGCACAGACUAAGCACUCAAUAAAUGUUGGCUAUGAACAAAUUUGCUAUUUUCUUAGUUAUAAAUUUCAUGUGACCAUAGAAUCUUUGGACACAGUACCCAUGGAAGGCACAAUAUACAUUACUUCUAUAGAUUCAGGAAAGUCUUGACACCUUAAUUAAUGCACAGGAGUCAAAAUCAGCACAGAAAGUAAGAGUGAUGAUGGAAAGUGGUUAGUGUUAAGGCUAAACUUGUUUGGUAUUUAAAUUCAGUGUGAGAGGCAAAAUCAUGGCCCACAUAGAUAUCCAAACCCUAAUCCUUGGAAUCUGUGAAAAUGUUCACUUAUAUGGAAAAGAGGUUUUGCAGAUGUUACUAGGGGCAGCAACCUUGAGAAUGACUAUCCUGUUUUAUCCAGGUGGGUCCAAAUGAGACACAUGAGUCCUUAAAAGCGAGAACCUUUCCUGCUAUGGUCAGAGAUAGAGGUGAUGAUGGAAGAAGGGUCAGAGAGACGUGAUGUGCGGACUCACCCAGCAGACCAGCUGUUGUUGGCUCUGCAAAUAGAAGUGAACCAAGAUACAUAGGCUGCCCUUAAAGCUGGGAAAGGUAAGGAAGCACACACUCUCCUUGAGCAUCCAGAAAAGAAUGAGGCCAGGCCCACACCUUAAUUUUUAGCCCAAAGAGUCUUAUUUUGGAUCCAUCCUAGAGAACUGUGAGAUAAUCAAUUUGUUACAGUAGGAAAAGAGAACUCAUAAGCUAUGAACUGAAAAAAGCAUGGGAGUUUGUUUUUAUAGCCUCUAAGAUAGUUCUGUGGAACUGACCCAGAGAAGCUGGGGGCAAGAAGGUCGUAGAUAUGUGAUUUUGGAGAAGAGGUACUUGCAAUCAGGCAUAUCUUGGUAGGUAGAAGGUUACUGUUCGUCACGAGGAACAGAGCUCAGCUAAAGAUUUUAGUGCUUUUCUAAAUAUGGGAAGAUGUAAGAGUCUGGGUUCACAGAAUUCUCUCCUGAAAAUAUGUCACUCUCUGAGGGCCUGUCUCAACACUUCUCCCAGCACGUGGCAUGCCUCAUCGCUGAUCUGCACCCUGAAUUCUUUCCAGGGUGUACUGCAGGUCAGUGAGCGCGGUGGCUAAUGAUUCGAUUCUUGUAGAACUGGGCAGCGAGUGACAUUCCUCAGUUGGCAACACCAAUGAGGCAAUUUUUUGCAAGGCCAUAGAAUUCUAGUCCAUUUAUCAUGUUUUGCACUAAAAAAAACUUAAAUGAAACAUGCUAUGAAUAAAUAAGCAGGACCAAAGCUCUAUAUUCCAUUGGCUUGAACCAUAGAUGAGUUAGGCUCACGAUACACCAGUGUCCUGUUCUACAGCAUUUGAGAUGGCUUAGCCUAGGCCUGAGGCUGAAGGAAAGUUGACAGAUUAGCAAGAAAGUCAAAUCAUUGGUAUUUCAGGGCAAUGCUGAAUCUGUUGGGACGUUCACACAUGGAUUAUAAAUGCACUGGGUGAUCUUAUCUUGGUGAAACUGGAUUUUUUGGAAAUUCUUUUAGAAAGAAGUAGUUUGGUCCAAAUUUCAGAAAUUUAAAAUAUACACUACAUUUCUAAAAGCGCAGAGCUGAAGGAAUUUCAGACAUUUUAUCUGACAAAACUGGAUGACAAUAACGCUGUGCGGUGCACGUUUUACAACAGCAAUAGUAUGAAUAAAGACAGCUAAUGUUCAUUGCUGACUUGCAGUGCAAUAUGGUCCUGAAAACAAAAUAUGCCAACAUUGAACUAUCAGAAUUUUAUAAAUAUCACAGUGGUACUUAACUUACCUAUAAAACCAUUUGGAAUGUAUCUAUUUUCUGAUGUACUUACGUUGUAGAACAAAGAUAGGUAAAUGACAUUUAUCUGACUCAUUUUAACUACAUUAUGUUCUCUAUGAUAUAAAUUUUUGAAAAUUACACUUUAUUAUCCAGUACAUUGUCAAUUUUAUGAGUUUUGUCUCUGAACUUGUAUUUAAAAAUUGGAUUACUUAAGUACAGGUUACUGCACAUGUGAAAUUCACUAUAUUCUUACUGAUUGCUGACCUAUUAGUUACAGAAAGAGAUAUGUUAAAAAAUCAUAUAUUUGCAUAUUUGUAUACCUCCAUGAAAUUGUCAUAUAUAAUACGUAUAUAUACAUGUAUCACAUACAUAGGCUAUGGUGUUAGAUACUUGUAAGUUUGGAGUCACUAGACAUUGCAGGUUAAUGUAAAUGUUUAGCAUUAUAUUGUGGCCCCAUUUACCUUCUAUAAUGCAUUUCCCCCCAAAAUCCACUCAAAUAGCACUACAGCAAAUUAACUUUCUUUGAAUUGUAUUUACCUAGUAUUUCUUUUUCUAUCCUUUUAUUUUCAACCUUUUUAUCUUUA